rnacentral:rRNA from 1 species
AUUGAACGCUGGCGGCAGGCCUAACACAUGCAAGUCGAGCGGAUGAAGGGAGCUUGCUCCUGGAUUCAGCGGCGGACGGGCGAGUAAUGCCUAGGAAUCUGCCUGGUAGUGUGGGAUAACGUCCGGAAACGGGCGCUAAUACCGCAUACGUCCUUAGGGAGAAAGUGGGGGAUCUUCGGACCUCACGCUAUCAGAUGAGCCUAGGUCGGAUUAGCUAGUUGGUGGGGUAAAGGCCUACCAAGGCGACGAUCCGUAACUGGUCUGAGAGGAUGAUCAGUCACACUGGAACUGAGACACGGUCCAGACUCCUACGGGAGGCAGCAGUGGGGAAUAUUGGACAAUGGGCGAAAGCCUGAUCCAGCCAUGCCGCGUGUGUGAAGAAGGUCUUCGGAUUGUAAAGCACUUUAAGUUGGGAAGAAGGGCAGUAAGUUAAUACCUUGCUGUUUUGACGUUACCAACAGAAUAAGCACCGGCUAACUUCGUG